rnacentral:precursor_RNA from 12 species
UAGCCUGUCUCCAUCCAUUGCAUCUGCCUCUUAUGGACAAAAUGCUCUCUUUUGUGAAUUAGAUCAAAACGAGCUUCUUGUCCAUAGGGGUUGUUGGCAAAUACUGCCGAAGACUAAC